rnacentral:rRNA from 1 species
GACGAACGCUGGCGGCGUGCUUAACACAUGCAAGUCGAACGGUAAGGCCCUUCGGGGUACACGAGUGGCGAACGGGUGAGUAACACGUGGGUGAUCUGCCCUGCACUUCGGGAUAAGCCUGGGAAACUGGGUCUAAUACCGGAUAGGACCACUGCCUGCAUGGGUGGUGGUGGAAAGCUUUUGCGGUGUGGGAUGGGCCCGCGGCCUAUCAGCUUGUUGGUGGGGUGAUGGCCUACCAAGGCGACGACGGGUAGCCGGCCUGGGAGGGUGACCGGCCAGACUGGGACUGGGAUACGGCCCAGACUCCUACGGGAGGCAGCAGUGGGGAAUAUUGCACAAUGGGCGCAAGCCUGAUGCAGCGACGCCGCGUGAGGGAUGACGGCCUUCGGGUUGUAAACCUCUUUCAGCACCGACGAAGCGCAAGUGACGGUAGGUGCAGAAGAAGGACCGGCCAACUACGUGCCAGCAGCCGCCGUAACAC